AGUCGAGCGAGUCUGCCUUGAAGAUCGGAGUGCUUGCACUCUGUGAAACAAGAUACAGGCUAGCGGCGGACGGGUGAGUAACACGUGGGUAACCUGCCCAAGAGAUCGGGAUAACACCUGGAAACAGAUGCUAAUACCGGAUAACAACAGAUGAUGCCUAUCAACUGUUUAAAAGAUGGUUCUGCUAUCACUCUUGGAUGGACCUGCGGUGCAUUAGCUAGUUGGUAGGGUAACGGCCUACCAAGGCGAUGAUGCAUAGCCGAGUUGAGAGACUGAUCGGCCACAUUGGGACUGAGACACGGCCCAAACUCCUACGGGAGGCAGCAGUAGGGAAUCUUCCACAAUGGACGCAAGUCUGAUGGAGCAACGCCGCGUGAGUGAAGAAGGGUUUCGACUCGUAAAGCUCUGUUGUUGGUGAAGAAGGACAGGGGUAGUAACUGACCUUUGUUUGACGGUAAUCAAUUAGAAAGUCACGGCUAACUACGUGCCAGCAGCCGCGGUAAUACGUAGGUGGCAAGCGUUGUCCGGAUUUAUUGGGCGUAAAGCGAGUGCAGGCGGCUCGAUAAGUCUGAUGUGAAAGCCUUCGGCUCAACCGGAGAAUUGCAUCAGAAACUGUCGAGCUUGAGUACAGAAGAGGAGAGUGGAACUCCAUGUGUAGCGGUGAAAUGCGUAGAUAUAUGGAAGAACACCGGUGGCGAAGGCGGCUCUCUGGUCUGUUACUGACGCUGAGGCUCGAAAGCAUGGGUAGCGAACAGGAUUAGAUACCCUGGUAGUCCAUGCC
rnacentral:rRNA from 1 species